rnacentral:rRNA from 1 species
AGUGAACGCUGGCGGUAGGUCUAACACAUGCAAGUCGAACGGCAGCACAGUAAGAGCUUGCUCUUACGGGUGGCGAGUGGCGGACGGGUGAGGAAUACAUCGGAAUCUACUUUUUCGUGGGGGAUAACGUAGGGAAACUUACGCUAAUACCGCAUACGACCUACGGGUGAAAGCAGGGGAUCUUCGGACCUUGCGCGAUUGAAUGAGCCGAUGUCGGAUUAGCUAGUUGGCGGGGUAAAGGCCCACCAAGGCGACGAUCCGUAGCUGGUCUGAGAGGAUGAUCAGCCACACUGGAACUGAGACACGGUCCAGACUCCUACGGGAGGCAGCAGUGGGGAAUAUUGGACAAUGGGCGCAAGCCUGAUCCAGCCAUACCGCGUGGGUGAAGAAGGCCUUCGGGUUGUAAAGCCCUUUUGUUGGGAAAGAAAAGCAGCAGGUUAAUACCCCGCUGUUCUGACGGUACACAAAGAAUAAGCACCGGCUAACUUCGUG